AGCAGCCGCGGUAAUUCCAGCUCCAAUAGCGUAUAUUAAAGUUGUUGCAGUUAAAAAGCUCGUAGUUGAAUUUCGGAAUUUGUCGGUUGGUCGGGCUUCACUGUCCGCACUGACCUGAUGAAUUCCUACCUUCUGAAUAACCUUCAUGCUAUUAAGUUAGUGCGUUGGGGAAGCAGAGCUAUUACCUUAAAAAAUUAGAGUGCUUAAAGCAGGCUUGUGCUUGAAUAGAUUAGCAUGGAAUAAUAAAAUAGGACGGCAUGGUUCUAUUUUGUUGGUUUCUAGGAUCACCGUAAUGAUUAAUAGGGAUAGUUGGGGGCAUUAGUAUUCAAUUGUCAGAGGUGAAAUUCUUGGAUUUAUUGAAGACUAACUUUUGCGAAAGCAUUUGCCAAGGAUGUUUUCAUUAAUCAAGAACGAAAGUUAGGGGAUCGAAGACGAUCAGAUACCGUCGUAGUCUUAACCAUAAACUAUGCCGACUAGGGAUCGGACGAUGUUAAUUUUAAUGACUCGUUCGGCGCCUUAC
rnacentral:rRNA from 1 species